CCUCGGGGGGCAGCAGUGGGGAAUAUUGGACAAUGGGCGAAAGCCUGAUCCAGCCAUGCCGCGUGUGUGAAGAAGGCCUUCGGGUUGUAAAGCACUUUCAGUGGGGAAGAAAGCCUUGGGGCUAAUACCCUCGAGGAAGGACAUCACCCACAGAAGAAGCACCGGCUAACUCCGUGCCAGCAGCCGCGGUAAUACGGAGGGUGCGAGCGUUAAUCGGAAUUACUGGGCGUAAAGCGCGCGUAGGCGGUCUGAUAAGCCGGUUGUGAAAGCCCCGGGUUCAACCUGGGAACGGCAUCCGGAACUGUCAGGCUAGAGUGCAGGAGAGGAAGGUAGAAUUCCCGGUGUAGCGGUGAAAUGCGUAGAGAUCGGGAGGAAUACCAGUGGCGAAGGCGGCCUUCUGGACUGACACUGACGCUGAGGUGCGAAAGCGUGGGUAGCAAACAGGAUUAGAUACCCGAGUAGUC
rnacentral:rRNA from 1 species